AUGCAUCUAAAUGAUCAUACUUUAUAUUUAAAAUAUGCAGUUAUUGUUUUUCAGAGUGAUCUCAAAAGUAAUGUCAUCAAUGUUCUUUUCUUUUGUCUUUAUUCUGAACUAGAACAUGAUCAACAUUUACAGUCGCAUGCGGACACACCAUUACAAACAGAAGAUAAAAAAGACAGGUGUUUUUUACAAUGAGGUGCAGGUGAAGGAGUGAAUUAAGUGCUAUGUAACAUGAAGAGGUGGAACAGUCUGAGUCCUAAAGUUAAAUACUGAACUGUGGGUCUUAUUAAUGGGGUGCACUGGACUUGUGAUUCUUCAUUUAUCUUUCUUUUUCUGAGUGUGGAGCCUGAGAGGCUGUUUGAGGAUUAUGAGGAGGGUCUGGCCUCCUUUUAUGAUGAGUCCAUGCCUCAUAUCUACUCUUACACUUGUCAGUCUAAGAUUCAAUUUUGCAUCCUUAGAAAUUAUUAUUAUUAUUAUUAUUAAUUUUUAGAAAUAUUUUUUAACAUACUAUAAAUAUAUCUGUCCAGAUCACUUUUAAUGUUGUUUUAACACUUACUUUUACUACUCCAGAUGUAAUCCAUCAUGAAUAACAUUUAAAUUUUACAUUUAUUUUCUGUGCUUUUUAUGUCUCAUUUUAGCACUUCACUGUGCUUAAAGUGGUCAUGAAUUGCAUUUUUUAUUAUUCUAUAACAUUCUCUGAUGUUCUCUUAUAAUGAUAGUGUGAUUUUACAUAAAAACAAAUGAAUGAAUGAAUAAAUAAAUAAAUAAAUAAAUACAUUUCCUGUCCUGUUUUUGUGCCUCUCUGCAGAACAGUCUGUUUUUUAGGCGGACGCAUUCAAGAUUCUCAAGUAAAAACCCACUGCUUGGUAAACAGUUUCGCUUAUUAAAAUAACAGAUUGAUGCUGCUGUGACAUGCCCUGAAAAACAACAUGGGUCAUUUGUGUAGGCUAUUUAAAAACAUAUAAAUACUCAAUAUUUAUCAAACAGUCUGGAACAGACAAUGCAAUAGUUGGAACAGACAAUGCAAUAGUUGUAAAAACACAUUUGUGUUGUGACAUUACUGUUGGAUUCACUCUGGUCAGACUCAGCACCACAUCAUCUUAUACUUUUAGUCUCUCCAAAAAGCCUGCAUUAUAUCGUCUUGUUUAAAAAUGAAUCCAUAAAGUCAAGUAAGGCAAACAAACAAAGUGUUUCGCUGUCACGAUCUGGAGCUCUUUCCUAAUUUUACCACGUUAUACUGGAUGCAAGUGGCACAACGUGACUAGACAACGGACCCCAUAAUAAUCAGCGUUUCUGUUUAUACUGUAUGUAGCACGGAUUGAAACUGAUUUCUUGUUAUAUUUUCCAAGACUGUUUUUCACAACUUACACUACACCGUGACUUGUAAUCGUGUAAUAACAUCUAUAUAGUUCUGCUGAUGGAGUAAUCCUGCAUUUGUGUCUCUGUAUUUUCCCGCCUGCUACCACAGGCAUGUACCAGUGGGUGGGGCUAAAGAGGCAGUGAUGUAGAAGUAGGCACUGAUCUUCUCCUGCAGAGGCUGACUUUUGCUGCACUAUUUCUUCAUAAAAUGGCACAUUCCAAAGUUUGUUGUUUUCUGAGCUUAGUUUCAAUAAAAGCUGUUUUUUAAACUAGCAAGAAAGUUUUGAAACUUACAUCCUGUUUUAUAUAUGUCAAAAACUGAAAGGAAAUUUAAACCAUGGAAAUUAACUAGGCAGGAAAACGGAGACACAAAACUAAACCAAAACAGAUCAUACAUGUGAGAGUUUGCCUCCUCCCGGGAUUGGCGUGACCAACAGCGGAGGGAGGGUGGGGGUUCGGGAGGCGGGCGUGAGGCAGGUGAGGGGCAGGCAUUCAGAAAGGGGUAUAGUUUAAUGGGCCAGGAGGGAGUAGAUGGAGGGAGGAGCCAGGGAGCAGCCUGGAGCAGGAGGAGCCAGGUGGAGAUCCAGAGGCCAGGAUAGUGGCCAACAGUGGAGGCGAUGGCGAAAGGAGCCAUGGUGGAGGUAGGGCCAACAACACCAGGGGGCUGACUGGCGGAGAUGAUGC
rnacentral:lncRNA from 1 species